AAUACAAUCAAAUAAUUAAAGAAUAAAUAUAAUAAUAGAUUGAAAUGAUUUAAGUUGAUAAUUAUAUUUAUUAAGAUUCCCUAGUGAAACUAAUAAGUAAAAUAUUGAGUUAUCUUAAUUUAUCAAUAAAGUAAUUGCAAAAUAGAAUGUUUGUAUCAUGAUAACAAUUAGAAAAUAUGAGUUGAGGUCAAAAAGACAUCUUACUCAAUAAUAAUAUAAAUUUGAGAAUUACUUGGUUUUGAGGAUGAGUUACUUGCUGCUGUUGAGUUACUGAAGAUACAGAUGCCUGAGUUUGAGAAGCAGUAACUGUUUGUGGCACUUGAGUGGGCACUGAUUGACUUACACAGGAUACUGUUAGCUGUCCAGCUUGUCCAUGGGUUUGUUGAGCUGUUAUUGACAUUGAAGCUUGUUGUUGGACAUUUUGUUGCUGCUGCUGCUGCUGCUGUUGUUGUUGUUGCUGCUGUUGCAAUUGCUGUAGUUGAGUUAAUCUUAAUUGUUGUUGUUGAGUUAAUUGUUGCUGCUGCUGCUGUUGUUGUUGUUGUUGUUGUUGCGCAUUAGCAGCCAUGACAUUGAUAUUAGUCACUGAAGAUGUAAAAUAUACAUAAAUAUAUAACAUAUUAAUUUUUUU